CGGUAGAGAGAAGCUUGCUUCUCUUGAGAGCGGCGGACGGGUGAGUAAUACCUAGGAAUCUGCCUGGUAGUGGGGGAUAACGUUCGGAAACGGACGCUAAUACCGCAUACGUCCUACGGGAGAAAGCAGGGGACCUUCGGGCCUUGCGCUAUCAGAUGAGCCUAGGUCGGAUUAGCUAGUUGGUGAGGUAAUGGCUCACCAAGGCUACGAUCCGUAACUGGUCUGAGAGGAUGAUCAGUCACACUGGAACUGAGACACGGUCCAGACUCC
rnacentral:rRNA from 1 species